rnacentral:lncRNA from 1 species
AUACUAGAGGGCAAAUACGGACAAAUCGGUAUAAACAUUAAAGGGAUAUAUUCGUAAUUUGAUAUAUUUAUUGGGAUUUGUAUGUAAUUAUCUUUGUAAUGAAUAAAUAUGGAUGUUUGAAAGACUAAAAUUUAUAAUUUUAUCUUAUAUAUAGAUGUACAAAUCGUAUUUACCUUUCUUAAAUCCAAAAGUGAUUUAUAAACUCUAAGAUAAAGAACUAAAGAAGGUAUAAAAUGCAAGGAUUUAAGUGCCGUGGCACAGAGUCGUAUCGGAAAUUUGCCAGUAUGGUACGCAUGAUGCGUGCUGAACCUUGCUGAUGCGUGCCGAUCACAAAAAAUAUAUGUGUCGAUACGUAAUGACGUGAAAUAUUUAUUUUCUUUAACAACAAAAUAUACCAAUUAUUUAUUAUAUAUUUUUAUCAAAAUUUUUAAAUUUUAUUGAGAAAAUUUUUUAAUAAUUUAAAGAACAGAGAAUUUUGAGUUGUGCCAUCAGCACAGAACUGUAUCGUGCCGAUAUCCUACUGGCACGGUACGAUAUAAUAGAUACGGCUUGUGCUGAUAGGCAGUUAAAAUCUUGGUAAAACGUUCACGUAUAUGCAACUUG